UACGGAGGGUGCAAGCGUUGUCCGGAUUCAUUGGGUUUAAAGGGUGCGUAGGCGGGUCUGUAAGUCAGUGGUGAAAGUCUGCGGCUCAACCGUAGAAUUGCCAUUGAUACUGCAGGUCUUGAGUGCAGUCGAUGUGAUUGGAAUACGUAGUGUAGCGGUGAAAUGCAUAGAUAUUACGUAGAACACCGAUAGCGAAGGCAGAUCGCAAGGCUGUAACUGACGCUGAGGCACGAAAGCGUGGGGAGCAAACAGG
rnacentral:misc_RNA from 1 species